rnacentral:rRNA from 1 species
UACGUAGGGUGCGAGCGUUGUCCGGAAUUAUUGGGCGUAAAGAGCUCGUAGGCGGUGUGUCACGUCGGCCGUGAAAACCUGCAGCUUAACUGUGGGCGUGCGGUCGAUACGGGCAUCACUGGAGUUCGGCAGGGGAGACUGGAAUUCCUGGUGUAGAGGUGAAAUGCGCAGAUAUCAGGAGGAACACCGGUGGCGAAGGCGGGUCUCUGGGCCGAUACUGACGCUGAGGAGCGAAAGCGUGGGGAGCAAACAGG